GACUGUAAUGCACGAGACGAGUUGGUGGUACCCUUGCCAAUACAUUUAAUUAGUUAGACCUUAUUGACAAUAUGCAUUCUUCAUUAAUAUAAAUCCAAUAAGUUUAAAAACACACAUUUGUGUGUAACAAUUGAUUUAAAAAUUGAGGCCAAUGCUUUAUUAAUUUAUCAUGAACAGUAACAAUGCGAAGAGGAGAAGCGGUUAUGAAAGUGAAAGACAAACACGUAAUACUCAAAAAAUGUCCCCAAAGAUUUUUCAUGAUUUAUCUCCAUGCUGAAGAAUUUUUGAUCUUCAGGCCUUCAGUGAAACAUUGAUUGAAAUCAACACUGAAAGAAGGAAAAAAAUGGAAUUGAAGAGACUUAAAGAGGCACUAAAACAAAAUACUGAAAAACCAAAUGGCAUACAUGCAUAUGCUGCAAAAUUCCCAAUGAGAUUAGAACAUCUAAGGCAUGCAACUACUGAAGAGGAAAAAAAUAUAUUUCUUUGUGACUUCCACUGAGAAAAAUCAUGGACAGCGUGGGUCAAUAAGAAAGAUCAUGGAGUGUAUGAUUCUCAUCAAAAAGUGCUCUCUAUCCUACGUAAUAUUGCAUUAGCAUCAACUCCAGAAGAGCAUAAAUUGGCUUUAAAUGCACUAAAUCCCAAAUUUGGAAGAAUAAUGAUUCUCUAAUACAAUGGUUCUCUUGUAAAUGGAUACCUGAAAUAAAGAAAUGGGCACAUGUUUAUAGAACUAAAGUUUUAAGUUGGAAUCCAUACAAAUAAUGCACUUGAACGUCAGAAUGAAGUUCUAAAACUUUACCUACCUUGAAGCCUAUACAAAUUGCACUCUAGGGGAGAUGAUUACAGUCCUCCAUUCAAUGUUUGUUCCCAAAUUCCUACAAAAAGUAUGUGCAACUGAAUUUACUGAGUUCGGAGCUAUAUCGAAGAUAUACAUAUGGUGUUCCUGUUUUUUCAAAAAAAUAUCCACGUGAAUUUGUAGCACAUAUCAUAAACAGAUUGUCAAUUAACCUUAGUGUUGAAGAUGUUACAAUUAUAAAUGGUACAUCUGGAAUAUUCAGUAUUAAAAGUGAAUUUAAAAAAGAGAAAAAGUAUAUGGUAGACUUUUCACCAUCUGUACCAUCAUGCAGUUGUGAAGACUGGGGAUAGGAAAAGCUUAUAUCAAAAGCUUUAGAGGAGCCAGGUAAACAUAUUACUAAAGGUUGUAUUUCUACAACGUUUAGCAAUUAUAAUUUAACAGACCUCCCACCACGUAAAAGAACAAAAAGAACAAUAUCAAUUUAACAGAAAUAUCACCAUGUAAAAGACUUGUAGACACAGUAUAUUUAAUAAAAGACAAGGCAUAUCUUGUAGAGUUGGAAACUGACAUCAGUAAUCUUUUAGAAAUGGCGUUGAAUAAAAUACCAGCAGACUAUGGCCUCCCUUUAGUUGAGUCUCCACAGAAGGAGAAAUCUCUUACAGAUGUUCUGCCACUGCCUAAAAGGCUUAAUGGAAAACCUAAACAGCCAGGGUCACAAAGUUAUGGGCUGAAAGCUGAGAAUUUAAAAUUAGAUGUUUGGCAAAAUGUUGAUAACCCACCUGUUUUAAGAUUGGAAGAGAAUGAAAAUCUAGAAAAUGUAUCCAUAGAUUCAGACAUAUGGGUAUAUAUAUAUGUAAUUACGCACUUAAGUUAAAACAUAAGGAGACCAUUUUACAAAAUCAAUGGCUGGAUGAUAACAAUGUUAAUGCUUUCCAAAAGUAAAUUGCUAUAAACUUCCCAUCAAUCUCAGGGCUGUGUGAUACUGUAAUUCUAGCACAUGAUUCUGUCUCCAACACUAACACUAAUCCUGUAAUAUAGAUUCAUCAUUUAGGCACUCAUUGGGUUGUAUGCUAUACAGCAGGGGAAUCUGUUAAUAUUGUUGGCUCCUUCAGAACAUCCAGAAUUCAAGAAACACUUAAACAGCUAUUAAAAUUGCAUUAAUCUUUUUGUAUUGGAGAAUUUAGUGUUCUUGAAGUGGAUUUAAUUUGUUACCAGAUUCAAGAGGGUAACAAUGACUGGGGUUCCUUUUCCAUCGCAAACACUGUAGCAUUAGCUUACGACCAUGAUUUAAGAAACAUACAUUUCUCUCAAAAUCAAAUGCGAGUUCAUAUUGUGUUGGACUUAAAAAGGACCAUAAGUGUGUUACAUCAAGAGUUAGGUUCUUUUGCCCAGGUUGCAAAAAAUAAAUUUAAAAAUAAAUUCUGAUUCUUAUUUUGAUUUUCAUGUUAUGCUGUGUUUCAAAUAUUUUUAUUGGUGUUAGUGAUAUAAUGUGGCUUUGUUUACAUAUAGCUGUUACUAUCAUUAAUCCAUAAAUAAAUUCAUAUAAUCAUA